rnacentral:tRNA from 1 species
AAUGAAUUGCCUGAUAAAAAGGAUUACCUUGAUAGGGUAAAUUAUGCAGUUUACUGUAUUCAUUA